CCCUUAGAUGUUCUGGGCUGCACGCGCGCUACGCUGUCGGAUUCAGCGAGUCAUAUCCUUAACCGAAAGGUUUGGGUAAUCUUUUAAAAGUCCGACGUGAUGGGGAUUGAUCAUUGCAAUUAUUGAUCAUGAACGAGGAAUUCCUAGUAAGCGCGAGUCAUCAGCUCGCGUUGAUUACGUCCCUGCCCUUUGUACACACCGCCCGCCGCUACUACCGAUUGAAUGGUUUAGUGAGAUCUUCGGAUUGGCGCCUACGCGGCUUCUCUGAGGCCACGCUGGAUGCCGAAAAGUUGCUCAAACUGUAUCAUUUAGAGGAAGUAAAAGUCGUAACA
rnacentral:rRNA from 1 species